GAUGAACGCUGACAGAAUGCUUAACACAUGCAAGUCUUUGGCGAAUCUGUGCUUGCACAGGCUAGCCAAGGCGGACGGGUGAGUAACGCGUAAAGAACUUGCCCUGCAGACAGGGAUAACAGACGGAAACGACUGAUAACACCUGAUACAGUUGCCGGCACGCAUGUGCCUGGCAAUGAAAAGAGAUGCUGCAGGAGAGCUUUGCGUCCUAUUAGCUUGUUGGUGAGGUGACGGCUCACCAAGGCGAUGAUAGGUAGCCGGCCUGAGAGGGUGAACGGCCACAAGGGGACUGAGAUACGGCCCUUACUCCUACGGGAGGCAGCAGUGGGGAAUAUUGGACAAUGGGGGCAACCCUGAUCCAGCAAUUCUGUGUGCACGAAGAAGGUUUUCGGAUUGUAAGGUGAUUUCAGCAGGGAAGAAGAAAGUGACGGUACCUGCAGAAGAAGCGACGGCUAAAUACGUG
rnacentral:rRNA from 1 species